rnacentral:rRNA from 1 species
GAUGAACGCUGGCGGCGUGCCUAAUACAUGCAAGUCGAGCGAACAGACCAGGAGCUUGCUCCUCUGACGUUAGCGGCGGACGGGAGAGUAACACGUGGAUAACCUACCUAUAAGACUGGGAUAACUUCGGGAAACCGGGUCUAAUACCGGAUAAUAUAUUGAACCGCAUGGUUCAAUAGUUAAAGACGGUUUUUCUGACACUAAAAGAUGGAUACGCGCCGCAUUAGUUAGUUGGUAAGGUAACUGCUUAGCAAGGCUAGGAUGGGGAGCCGACCUGAGAGGGUGAUCGGCCAGACUGGAAGUGAGACACGGCCCACACUCCUAGGGGAGGCCGCAGUCGGGAAUCUUACGCGAUGGGCGAGAGCCGGACAGAGCAACGCCGCGUGAGUGAUGAAGGUCUUCGGAUCGGAGAGCGCUGUUAGUAGGAGAGAACAAAUGUGUAAGUAACUAGGCACGUCUUGACGGUACCUGGUCAGAAAGCCACGGCUAACUACGUG